UAGCGGAACUCCUACGGGAGGCAGCAGUGGGGAAUUUUGGACAAUGGGGGCAACCCUGAUCCAACAAUGCCGCGUGUGUGAAGAAGGUCUUCGGAUUGUAAAGCACUUUAAGUUGGGAGGAAGGGCAUUGACCUAAUACGUUAGUGUCUUGACGUUACCGACAGAAUAAGCACCGGCUAACUCUGUGCCAGCAGCCGCGGUAAUACAGAGGGUGCAAGCGUUAAUCGGAAUUACUGGGCGUAAAGCACGCGUAGGUGGUUUGUUAAGUUGAAUGUGAAAUCCCCGGGCUCAACCUGGGAACUGCAUCCAUAACUGGCAAGCUAGAGUAUGGUAGAGGGUAGUGGAAUUUCCUGUGUAGCGGUGAAAUGCGUAGAUACAGGAAGGAACACCAGUGGCGAAGGCGACUACCUGGACUGAUACUGACACUGAGGUGCGAAAGCGUGGGGAGCAAACAGGAUUAGAUACCCUUGUAGUCCACUUAUG
rnacentral:rRNA from 1 species